rnacentral:rRNA from 1 species
GCAUAUCAAUAAGCGGAGGAAAAGAAACUAACAAGGAUUCCCUUAGUAACGGCGAGUGAAGCGGGAAGAGCUCAAAUUUGGAAUCUUCAAGGUUCUACCUUGACGAAUUGUAGUUUAAAGAAGUGUUUUCUGUUAGAUGAGUAGCAAAAGUUCCUUGGAAUGGGACAUCAUAGAGGGUGAGAAUCCCGUAUUUGGUUAUUCAUUCUAGCUUUGUGAUACACUUUCAAAGAGUCGGAUUGUUUGGGAAUGCAGUCCAAAAUGGGUGGUAAAUUUCAUCUAAAGCUAAAUAUUGGCGAGAGACCGAUAGCGAACAAGUACCGUGAGGGAAAGAUGAAAAGAACUUUGAAAAGAGAGUUAAACAGUACGUGAAAUUGUCAAAAGGGAAGCGUUUGACACCAGUGUUGUUUUUCCGAAAAUCAAUUACGAAUGGCUUGAUUUUGUGUUGUAUUGACCUUAUCAGCUUUCUGCACUUUUUUCGAGUCUUUCUUAAUGCACUUUUCGGUUAACAAGUCAACAUCAAUUUCUUUUGUUGUAAAAGAGUAUUCGGAAGGUGGCUUUCUUUUCGGAGAAAGUGUUUAUAGCCCUAUACUUCUACAAUCGGAGAGAUUGAGGUCUGCAGCGUAGAUCCUUCGGGGUUAGAUACAUUUGUGCUAAGUUGUAGCUUUUCAUAGACAACUUGUUGACUAUGUUUAGUCAUGCGGCUUACUCGCUUAUGCUAUUUUACCUACGCUUAGGAUGUUGACAAAAUGGUUUUAAACGACCCGUCUUGAAACACGGACC